GUGAACCUUUACUAUAGCUUCACAUUGACAUUGGGCAAUUUAUGUGUAGGAUAGGUGGGAGACUUUGAAGCGGCGUCGCUAGGCGUUGUGGAGUCAUCCUUGAAAUACCACCCUUUGCUUAUCUAGAGUCUAACUCAGAGAUGAGGACAGUGCUUGGUGGGUAGUUUGACUGGGGUGGUCGCCUCCAAAAGAGUAACGGAGGCUUUCAAAGGUUCCCUCAGCACGCUUGGUAACCGUGCGCAGAGUGCAAUGGCAUAAGGGUGCUUGACUGAGAGACCUACAAGUCGACCAGGUAGGAAACUAGAGCAUAGUGAUCCGGUGGUUCCGCAUGGAAGGGCCAUCGCUCAAAGGAUAAAAGGUACUCCA
rnacentral:rRNA from 12 species